UACGUAGGGGGGCAAGCGUUUGUCCGGAAUUAUUGGGCGUAAAGCGCGUGUAGGCGGCUUGGUAAGUCUGAUGUGAAACCUUGGGGGCUCAACCCCCAAGCCUGCAUUGGAAACUGCCUCGCUUGAGUCCGGGAGGGGGAGAGCGGAAUUCCUAGUGUAGCGGUGAAAUGCGCAGAUAUUAGGAAGAACACCGGUGGCGAAGGCGGCUCUCUGGAACGGUACUGACGCUGAGACGCGAAAGCGUGGGGGAGCGAAACAGGGAUUGAAGAUACCCGUGG
rnacentral:rRNA from 1 species